UUAAGCUCUCCUCCAUCUUUGGUGCCGUUCCUUACAUUUGGUGCCGAAACCCGGGAGGGGUACCAAGCCCCGCGGGUUACCAUGCGGGCCGCUCCUCCCCUCCCCCAGGAGACAACCAGGGAACCUCUACUCAUCCACCGGAUCCGGCAGAAAACGGGCCCUGUCCCAGCUGCAGGCUAACGGGCCACUGGAAGAGUGACUGCCCUACGACUGGCCCUCCCUCAGCGUCUCCACGCGGGGGGCAAGCCGACCCAAUGGCAUUACCACUCGAACUGCUGGGAUUGGCUGACGACUGACGGCGCCCGGACUCGAAGACCCCCAUCACCCUCGCCGAGCCCCAGAACAGAAACUCCAGCUAGCCAUCGAGGCUUCUGCCACCUCCAUCACCUCCUUCCAGCGCCAGAUCACCUCAGUAGCCCGAGUCGCUCUCCAGAAUCAACGAGCCCUUGAUCUCCUGACGGCCGACAAAGGAGGUACCUGCCUCUUCCUACAGGAGGAAUGCUGCUAUUACAUCAAUGAAACAGGACUCGUCGAAGACAACGUAAACGCCCUCCAUCGCUUAAGAGAAGAACUUCAAUGAAAACACCAACAGUCCGCCUCCCCAGUCCCCAAUUGGUGGCGAUCCACCCUCUAUACCUGGCUAACACCGAUCUUAGGCCCCUUAAUUCUCAUCUGUAUCUUGUUCACGCUUGCUCCCUGUUUUCUUAGGUUCCUUCGCAGGCGCAUGGAGGAAGUCUCUCGGGUGGCCACAAACCAAAUGCUCCUCGGCCCUUACACCUUGCUUCCUACAGAGCCCCCCAAUGGUCUCCCUUAAGCCUCGGACCUCUGGUCGCCCGACUCCCCUUUCGACACCCCCAUUCAGCAAGAAGUAGCCAGAGAUUAGAACGCCGCCCCAUUACACCAAAGAUGUCGGGAUGUAAGGCCAACUGGCCCGAGGCAGGGGAACACAAUCAGACUCACAGGUUGCAUCAGACCAAAACUUUCCGGACCACCCAGUUCCAGAAACUGACCUGGAGACUUUCCGGACCACCCAGUUCCAGGAACUGACCUGGCGACUUUCCACCCGGCCCAGCCUUCCCGCCUUUCGAGGGGCGGGACUAACAGUCCCAAGACUGAUGCGACCGGCACCGGAUAUUGCCACGAUACCCGAAGAGACCACCAAAUAAGGAAUAACCUGCACCCUCCCGGAUUCACCACACCCCUUUCCCUUCUUCCCCUAUAAAUUCUGCCCAAACCCUCGCCCG